rnacentral:rRNA from 1 species
AUUGAACGCUGGCGGCAGGCCUAACACAUGCACGUCGAGCGGAGCGGCGGACGGGUGAGUAAUGCCUGGGAAUCUGCCUGGUAGUGGGGGAUAACGUCCGGAAACGGGAGCUAAUACCGCAUACUAUCAGAUGAGCCUAGGUCGGAUUAGCUAGUUGGUGGGGUAAAGGCCUACCAAGUCGCCGGUCCGAAACUGGUCUGAGAGGAUGAUCAGUCAAACUGUAACGUUGACACGGGCCAGCAGCCUACGGGAGACAGAAGUGGGGAUUAUUGGACAAUGGGCGAAAUCCUGAUGCAGCCAUACCGCGUGUGUGAAGAAGGUCUUCGGAUUGUAAAGCCCUUUAAGUUGGGAGGCGUUACCAACAGAAUAAGCAACGGCUAACUUCGUGCCAGCAGCCGCGGUAAUUC